rnacentral:misc_RNA from 1 species
GAUGAAGAACGCAGCGAAAUGCGAUAAGUAGUGUGAAUUGCAGAAUUCAGUGAAUCAUCGAAUCUUUGAACGCACAUUGCGCCCCUUGGUAUCCCGAGGGGCAUGCCUGUUCGAGCGUCAUUUCACUACUCAAGCCUGGCUUGGUGUUGGGCGACGUCCCCUUUGGGGACGCGCCUCGAAACGCUCGGCGGCGUGGCACCGGCUUUAAGCGUAGCAGAAUCUUUCGCUUUGGAAGUCGGGGCCCCGUCUGCCGGAAGACCUACUCGCAAGGUUGACCUCGGAUCAGGCAGGGAUACCCGCUGAACUUAAGCAUAUCAAUAAGCGGAGGA